rnacentral:ncRNA from 1 species
AUUUAAAAGUUUUAUUCUUGCUUAUGGAUUUACUUUAAGUUUAUUUUACAUGUAAGUUUUUGCGUGUUUGACUUUAUUUUUUCUAGAUGAAAUAAUAUAUGUUUAUUUAAGUCGCAGUAUUUAAUUUUAUAAGUUAAGGAGACUUAGAGUUAGUGAUUUUAAUAGUACCGGCAAAAAUCGUGCCAGCCGCCGCGGUUAGACGAGGGGUGCAAGUAAAUAUUUUUGGUGUAUAGUUAAAUGAUGACAAGGAAGGUAAACUUAAUUUUAUAAGGUGAAAUUUUAAAAUUAAAUAAUUUCUUUGAGAGUUUUUGAAGCUGUGAAAUUUAAAUUUUAAACUAGGAUUAGAUACCCUAUUAUUUUAAAUGUGAAGUGUUAAUACUUGAGUAGUAUGAGAUAUGAUCUUGAAACUCAAAGAAUUUGGCGGUGUUUUAGUCCUUUCAGAGGAACCUGUCCCGUAAUCGAUAUUCCACGUUAUACCUUGCUUAAUUUUGUUGAUCAGUUUGUAUACCGCCGUCGUCAGAAUGUCCUAUAAGGGUUAGAAUUUUCUUUAUUUAGAAUAAUUAAGUGAUGUCAGGUCAAGGUGCAGUUUAUGAUUAAGUGGAGGUGGGUUACAAUAAAUUUAUUUAAUACGGAUAGUUGUUUUAAAUUAAUGACUUGAAGGUGGAUUUGAAUGUAAUUAUGUAUAGAAUAACAUUUUGAUUUUGGCUCUAAAACAUGCACACAUCGCCCGUCGCUCUCGUUAAUUAAGAUGAGAUAAGUCGUAACAUAGUAGGUGUACCGGAAGGUGUACCUGGAAAGUU